UUCUCUCUCUACUCCAUGCGUGCGUGGGUGUGUGCUCGGGCUGAAGGAGAAAGAAGAAGAAGCAUCAGCUUCUUUAUAAUGCACCCCAAGGCAUUAUUCACUUCAGGCAGUUUUUACAGUUGGGAACAGUUGGAGCCCUUCUGAAUGUCCGUUUGAGCUCAAAUUUGACAGGCAGGCUCAGUUUAACGUACUGAGUAAGAAUAUAUUUUAAGUUUUCAGUUUCGACCCCAUUUGGUCACCGAAAACUGUGCCGAACUGUAAUCUUUAUCAGAUAACUCUCGGAUUUUAUUUCUCACUCUACGGGUGUCAGAAAAAUAUGAAACUUUAAAUCUAGCCUCAUAAAAAUAUUUCUGACUUAUCCUCCAAUUUUUAUAAUUUUCUGAGACUGUGCAUUUUCUGCUAAUUUGUCUGUCCCGUUUCCAACAGAAAAUUCUAGAUCUUCUGUUUUCAUUGCGAUUUCAGCACAAGUCACUUCUGACUUAUGUUUUACUCUUACAAAUCCAAUAAAAAUAGUUUCUCACACUAUUUUUAUUUAUUUUUAUUUUUAUACCAAAAUCUGGUAUGUUACAUUCUCCACCCCUCAAAAGAAUUUCGUCCGCGAAAUUCAAACAACACCUCAAUUCAGUUCCUCGAGCAAUUGAGGGUGCUAACUCAUUCUUCCACUCCAGAGCGGCUCCACACCAUCGUGUUUGAGAAGCGGCUCAUUCUAAAGGACAUGGGUUUGAUAUUAAACACAUUUGCAAAAGGUGAUACAAAAGUGCAUCACGGGUCUUGCAAGUCAUAGUGGCAGCGCAAGUCGGUACUCGACGACUCUACGCGCCCCAACACCACUCGCCAUUCGGUACACAAAGAACUUUUCUUUGCACUGGCCUUCCCUUUUGGGAAUACAUUCCAAUUCGAUCACCGACAUUUCUUAUAAGCAAUAUCACCGGUGCAUCGCUCCGUCGUGAGUGCUCUAAUUUCGCACUGACCCUUAACUUUAACGCGAGAUGGCCCACUUCGGCACAUCUCAAGUCUCAGUUCGCUUACGAGCAUAGUCUCCAACAUCACGUGGCUUUCCACUAGAUGCCACAUGCCACGAUCAACAUCAAACUAUUCUCGCAACGAGCUCACGCGAGCACUUCGUUCGUGAAUUCGAGUCAAACUCCUCGAUAAGGCUAUCUGCCAAAUCGCUCUCGUCGGUCUCCACAGGUGGACCAAAGGCCACCAAUCCUACGUAGGCCUACCGCCUAAACCUAUCUCAAUACGCAGCGUCUCUCGCUCGCAAAUGCAGACCAAAUCAUGAUCGUGCUAAAUUCUCACUUGGGAAUUCGCACACACUUUAACCAGGAGCAACUAAGAACCCAAACCACCUCAAGUCCUCGGGUUGGGUCACAACCAUACUCGGUGUACCAUCGGUCACACAAUCUAUCACGUGGCAUUCCACGCUCCCGGGUCUAAGCCCGGACUACCGUCCUGACCAGAACUCUGCUCUACCCGUAGGUACCGGGCCGUUGUCACUCACAGCUGACUGCGCCUGCCCAAAGGGCCCAGGCUCCACAGUCCACUAAUGGUCCAGGCACGGGUCGUCCCCAAGCACUACUCGCCGUCGUAGUCCCACACGACAUACUCUGCCGAAUCACACGUACCAAUAUCGGCUCCUAUGCACCUAGUGCGAGUCACCAGUCCCACGAGUGAUCCAUGGCACGCUUCACACCUAGCAAUGCUCAAGUGCUACUGCCAAAACACUCACUCGGUUGAAUCCACAUCCGUACUCUACGGGUCUCUACACUCGAGCGCUUUACGCCCCUACAGCGUUCCACACGAAGUCCAAUGUUAGGCAAUUCUUGCCUAUGUACGCUGACUACACAAGCACGACUCUCUUACCUCACAUUGAGGUACUACUAGGCCCACGUGCUCAAACUUGGCCACUAAUCGAUCGUUCUCUCAACAGUGAUGCUACUUUCGCUGUUAGACCCAUCGGAACGACAUCCGAAAUACUCGGACUACUCGGGUGCCCAUAGGCAUUAUGGCUCAACCCUCGCAAUUUACUACUCAUAUUGCUCUAAGAGUCAUUUGGACACUUCUAUCUCUACCGCGAGACUCACUUCUCGCCAUAGAUUUCUUCUAGCACUUCGCUAGUGCCAUCUGGCUCUAUACCUGUACUGGCAGGUACUACGCCCUCACAUAAUACAAAACUCCAUUUCUAGAGCAAUCAAAUCUAUCUCUAGAAAUCCACCAUGAGAGAGAGCUUAGAAGCUUACCUCUCCAAGAAGCUCCAACCAAGGAGAAGAUGAAGAAGAUGAGGAAGACCUCCUUCUUUUUCUCCUUCUUUCCUUUCCUUUCUUCUUCCUCUUCUUGUCUUCUGGAGAGAGAAAGAGAGAUAUGAGAGGGUGUGUGGGUGAGAAAUAAGAGAAAAGAGCUCUCAUACCCCUCACAUAGCCCCACAUGUUGCAUAAGUGCAAACAAGCCUCUCAACUUUUAUUCUUUUACAUUGCCCUCACUGGGCCACUUUCGGGUUCGGGGACCGGUCUCCCCGAUGAGGAACCGGUCUCCGAGAGCUUCUCCCCGCAGUCAGCAGAGCUCACACCCGAUGCAACCGGUCUUUCUUUGGGGGACCGGUCUCUCAGGGACCGGUCUCUCCAGCAGGGACCGGUCUCCGAGAGCUGUCCACGAGGGACUUAGCCGAUUUUUCCUCCCUUUCGCUGUCUGCGCGUGCGGGGACCGGUCUCCCCCACCAGGGACCGGUCCCCGAGAGCACAAAACCUGCAGUUUUGCAGAUUUGAUUUCCAAAGCUCUCGAAGAUCCCUAGUAAUGCACUUUUGCAUUAUUUGACGCCUUCGGCCUUUCCGAAGCGUACCAACCUCGCUCUUUGGCCAAUUUGACCGGGGUUCGAUGUUCGCUUACCGAAGUUUCGGUAUAUUACAUACCCACUCGACAACUAGCCGAUCCUCGACGAAGUCCAACUCUCAGCUCUCGAGAAUUCACUUCGUUACAACCGUGCUAUACCGGUACACCCCUGGUGUUAAAUCGGUAACACAUGUUCCAGAAUUUCGAUUUUGCACCGCUUCGACUCCGAUUCAUGCCGAGCAACGCUAAAACCUUUCUAACUCUUUUAGAACCCAAUUCUAACCCUUCCAACAUUGUUGGAAUAUCAAUUGGACUUUGUCCAACUACUUCUCUCGACGCACUUUGGUCAAUUUGACCAAAAGUGAUCUAACACGACGAGGAUUCCGUUAAUUUCUCAAAGGUCACAAGGGCCGCCAAAACUCGCGAAGUUCCAAGUCUCCGCUCGCCUCAAAUUGCCCAGGGACACUGCUUGGCCCAUCCCGCGCCGAUCUAAAAGAAGAUCGCCUACGCGGUACUAUUACUCCCUAAAACGCGACAACCUUAUUAAUCCUCGACCUUCUAGGUCGAACACGAAACACUUAAUAUCGACUCAAAUCGGGCGAAAGUCACGCAAGGGCGUCUAUUCUCAUCACUCGGCUUUAUGUUGUGUGCACCCAACAUGAGCACCCUCUGUUGAGAAUAAACCUCACCCUUAGUCUACCUCUAACAUCCGUUUUAGAGGUUUAUGACACAACCCAAUCAAUUAACCUUUCGCCAAAAGUCACAAGUCCUCGUCUCUCACGAGCCUUAAUCUCCUAUGGUUUACUAUCCUAGGGUCUCCUAGGUCAAACUAAACCAUUUUCUAUCAUUCUUUUUAUGUUUCUUUUCUUCUCUGAUACCAUCUUAUCUGUCACGCCCCGCGACCGCCUAUUUGGUCGGUUUCGGGCACGCCAACAGAUCGCCGAACGGACAGGGUUUCCCCUGUACGGCGGACAGAGUCUCCCCUGUACGUUCAAGGCAUAACAAUCAAUACAAUGUGCGAAGUUCCAACCAGGAACACAUUUCAAUCAAGAUUGCAUAAUGGAAGGUAUCAAACAACAUAACACAUCCUAUGUUAUUACAUGCAUUCACAUUUAUACAUUUUACAUCCCAAAUACUUAUUACAUUUAACUUCCAAAUACAAUCCGAUUUAACAUGAUUAUUACAAUCCUAUUCCUUUCAUUUCCUUACAUCCCUAAGUAAAGCCGACUUAGGGUACCGCUAUCUCUGGUCUCGGUGGUAGGACGCUAACUAUGAUGCUACGCCCUCGCCUCGCGCCGCCGCGCCGCUCACGUGCGAACCUGUAAACACCCCAAAACCACGUGGGGUGAGAACCAACUCCAUGGUUCCCAGUGGGUA
rnacentral:lncRNA from 1 species